GAUGAACGCUGGCGGCGUGCCUAAUACAUGCAAGUCGAGCGAACAGACGAGGAGCUUGCUCCUCUGACGUUAGCGGCGGACGGGUGAGUAACACGUGGAUAACCUACCUAUAAGACUGGGAUAACUUCGGGAAACCGGAGCUAAUACCGGAUAAUAUAUUGAACCGCAUGGUUCAAUAGUGAAAGACGGUUUUGCUGUCACUUAUAGAUGGAUCCGCGCCGCAUUAGCUAGUUGGGAAGGUAACGGCUUACCAAGGCGACGAUGCGUAGCCGACCUGAGAGGGUGAUCGGCCACACUGGAACUGAGACACGGUCCAGAGUCCUACGGGAGGCAGCAGUAGGGAAUCUUCCGCAAUGGGCGAAAGCCUGACGGAGCAACGCCGCGUGAGUGAUGAAGGUCUUCGGAUCGUAAAACUCUGUUAUUAGGGAAGAACAAAUGUGUAAGUAACUAUGCACGUCUUGACGGUACCUAAUCAGAAAGCCACGGCUAACUACGUG
rnacentral:rRNA from 1 species